UCCAACCAUCUCGUCCUCUGUCGUCCACUUCUCCUUGUGCCCUCCAUCUUUCCCAACAUCAGGAUCUUUUCCGGGGAGUCUUCUCUUCUCAUGAGGUGGCCAAAGUAUUGGAGCCUCAGCUUCAGGAUCUGUCCUUCCAGUGAGCACUCAGGACUGAUUUCCUUCAGAAUGGAUAGGUUUGAUCUUCUUGCAGUCCAUGGGACUCUCAAGAGUCUCCUCCAGCACCAUAAUUCAAAAGCAUCAAUUCUUUGGUGCUCAGCCUUCUUUAUGGUCCAGCU